UAAGACGUAGGGGGCGAGCGUUGUCCGGAUUUAUUGGGCGUAAAGCGCGCGUAGGCGGCCGCUCAAGUCGGAUGUGAAAACCCGAGGCUCAACCUCGGGCCUGCAUCCGAUACUGGGCGGCUCGAGGCAGGCAGGGGAGAGUGGAAUUCCUGGUGUAGCGGUGAAAUGCGCAGAUAUCAGGAGGAACACCGGUGGCGAAGGCGGCUCUCUGGGCCUGUCCUGACGCUCAGGCGCGAAAGCUAGGGGAGCAAACAGGA
rnacentral:rRNA from 1 species